GAUGAACGCUGGCGGCGUGCCUAAUACAUGCAAGUCGAGCGAACAGACGAGGAGCUUGCUCCUCUGACGUUAGCGGCGGACGGGUGAGUAACACGUGGAUAACCUACCUAUAAGACUGGGAUAACUUCGGGAAACCGGAGCUAAUACCGGAUAAUAUAUUGAACCGCAUGGUUCAAUAGUGAAAGACGGUUUUGCUGUCACUUAUAGAUGGAUCCGCGCCGCAUUAGCUAGUUGGUAAGGUAACGGCUUACCAAGGCAACGAUGGGUAGCCGACCUGAGAGGGUGAUCGGCCACACUGUAACUGAGACACGGUCCAGACUCCUACGGGAGGCAGCAGUAGGGAAUCUUCCGCAAUGGGCGAAAGCCUGACGGAGCAACGCCGCGUGAGUGAUGAAGGUCUUCGGAUCGUAAAACUCUGUUAUUAGGGAAGAACAAAUGUGUAAGUAACUAUGCACGUCUUGACGGUACCUAAUCAGAAAGCCACGGCUAACUACGUG
rnacentral:rRNA from 1 species